GCCUGCGGCGCGCGCGCCACAACGCGGGACGGGCCUUGGAAGAGCCUCCGCGCGCGCUCCCGCUAAUUCGCGGCCACACCCCUGUCUACUUCCAUGUCCAAUAGGUGUGAGAGGGCGGGGCAGCCUCGUUCUGACUGGGGAGGCUAUAUAAGGAGCUACUGGCUGCGCGUCUCGGUCUUUUACGUAGGCCUUCGUGAUCGCUUGGUCGUGUGGUAGGAACAAUGGCGCUGUCGUGGCCCAGCAGAGCAGCUCUGAAUAUGCAAAGAUACAUGAAAGAAUUCCAGAAUAUGCGGGAGAAUAUUUAAUGGAAAACCGCUUGGUUAAACCUGACACUCUUCAUGGUGAGGGUCGCUGUCUGCCCAUUGAUAAGAGGCCAGAUUGUCUUGGAAGUUCCAAAGUUGCAACGAUUUCUGGUACUGCUUUCUCUUGCUGCAGCUUGCUUCCUUCCUCAGGUAUGAAGUUAAGGUUAGUAUCUUCCUUGCCCUGUACUGCCACUUCUUUUUUUUUUGAGACACAGUCUUACUCUGUCACCCAGGUGGAGUGUAAUGGCACAAUCUUGGCUCACUGCAACCUCCCUCCCAGGUUCAGGAGAUUCUUAUGCCUCAGCCUCCCUAGUAGCUGGGAUUACAGACGCAUGUCACCACACCCAGCCAAUAUAACUUGA
rnacentral:lncRNA from 10 species